rnacentral:tRNA from 1 species
ACAUUCGUAGUGUAGGGGUUAUCAUCUGGGCUUCCCAUGCCUAGGACCCGGGUUCGAGUCCCGGCGGAUGUA